rnacentral:tRNA from 1 species
GGACGUGUAGCUCAGUGGUAGAGCGCUUGCCUAGCAUGUGCAAGGCCCUGGGUUCAGUCCCCAGCACCA